rnacentral:rRNA from 1 species
GAUGAACGCUAGCGGGAGGCCUAACACAUGCAAGCCGAGCGGUAUUGUUUCUUCGGAAAUGCGAGAGCGGCGUACGGGUGCGUAACACGUGUGCAACCUGCCUUUAUCUGGGGGAUAGCCUUUCGAAAGGAAGAUUAAUACUCCAUAAUAUAUUGAACGGCAUCGUUUAAUAUUGAAAGCUCCGGCGGAUAGAGAUGGGCACGCGCAAGAUUAGCUAGUUGGUGAGGUAACGGCUCACCAAGGCGAUGAUCUUUAGGGGGCCUGAGAGGGUGAUCCCCCACACUGGUACUGAGACACGGACCAGACUCCUACGGGAGGCAGCAGUGAGGAAUAUUGGUCAAUGGGUGCAAGCCUGAACCAGCCAUCCCGCGUGAAGGACGACUGCCCUAUGGGUUGUAAACUUCUUUUGGAUAGGGAUAAACCUACCCUCGAGAGGGUAGCUGAAGGUACUAUACGAAUAAGCACCGGCUAACUCCGUG